rnacentral:rRNA from 1 species
ACGAACGCUGGCGGCGUGCCUAAUACAUGCAAGUCGAACGCUUCUUUCCUCCCGAGUGCUUGCACUCAAUUGGAAAGAGGAGUGGCGGACGGGUGAGUAACACGUGGGUAACCUACCCAUCAGAGGGGGAUAACACUUGGAAACAGGUGCUAAUACCGCAUAACAGUUUAUGCCGCAUGGCAUAAGAGUGAAAGGCGCUUUCGGGUGUCGUUGAUGGAUGGACCCGCGGUGCAUUAGCUAGUUGGUGAGGUAACAGCUCACCAAGGCCACGAUGCAUAGCCGACCUGAGAGGGUGAUCGGCCACACUGGAACUGAGACACGGCCCAGACUCCUACGGGAGGCAGCAGUAGGGAAUCUUCGGCAAUGGACGAAAGUCUGACCGAGCAACGCCGCGUGAGUGAAGAAGGUUUUCGGAUCGUAAAACUCUGUUGUUAGAGAAGAACAAGGACGUUAGUAACUGAACGUCCCCUGACGGUAUCUAACCAGAAAGCCACGGCUAACUACGUG